rnacentral:rRNA from 1 species
GACGGAGGGUGCUAGCGUUGUUCGGAUUUACUGGGCGUAAAGGGCGCGUAGGCGGCCUGGUCAGUCGGGUGUGAAAGCCCGGGGCUCAACCCCGGAACGGCACCCGAGACGGCAGGCGUGGAGACCGGGAGAGGAGGGUGGAAUAGCCAGUGUAGAGGUGAAAUUCGUAGAUAUUGGCUGGAACACCGGUGGCGAAAGCGGCUCUCUGGCCCGGUUCUGACGCUGAGGCGCGAAAGCGUGGGGAGCAAACAGGG